UGAAGCUGUCCUUGGAAAUCAGCCAUACCAAUGUUGCUGUACACAUAUAUCAAGAUGUAGUACAGUUUGUAAGGAAAACCUGGAUACAGAUCUACUCAAGUCUGGAACCACAUCUGAUUUAUGGAGCACAGUAUUGCGUCUCAUACCACCUACUACAGCAACAAGCCUUGUACAUCAUUACUAGUGAAAUACAAUUCCUUUCAACUAAAAAGUGUCUUCAGGGUAGCACAUGUUGACCAUUCUUAUUGUUUAUUCAAUUUGUCCCUUCUUAUAUUCUCACCUCUACUACCUGCAUUUUCUUUCUAUCCCAGAUCUGAAUCUCUUUUUCUGUAUGUCAGCAAAAGCAAUGGUGCCUGUCUCACUCCAGCCUAAUUAUGGCCUUGAUUGUCAGUUAUAAUCUCAACUCCAAUCAAAUUGUAUUCUCCAAGAGAAAACAAGCCCUGAUUUUCUAUAAUGCAGCUAUUGAUACGUGCAGGCUACCUCAUCCUGUGGACUUGUGAAGUCCUGUCAUGCCAGUAACUUCCUGCAUUUAAGGGGUACUCUGAAAGUAAUCAGCAGCAGAUGUUGGUAGUAUGGCAGUAGAGACUGAACCUUCUUGUAAAUAUUCCAUUUCAUUUUGUUUCUAUGUGACAGAUGGCAGCAGAGGGGCAGUCCAAUAAAAUGAUGUCUGACAGGGAACUGUAUGAAGCAAAGGUGUGGAACUGAAUUCCUCCAUUUGGAAAAAAUGACACCCACUGGCAUUCAUCAGUGCUUACUGAACAUUUAUGGAGACCAAACAGUAAAUAUGAUCACAGUGAGGCAACGGGUGGUGAUCUUCAGCAGCUGCAAGAAUGACAUUGGAUCACCUCUGUUGGUGCAGAUUUUUCUGAGCGUGGCACACAGGCUCUUGUUCAAUGAUGGCAGAAGUAGUGCUUUGUAGCUGAGUAUUUGCUCUAUUGAAUAGUUAUAUUGUGCUUUAUAUAUGUUGUAGUUUCCAGUUUCCAUGGAAAUAAAUAGAAGGCAUGACUUUUGGAGCUACCUA
ensembl:lncRNA